GGGCACCUUCACUGUGUGAGGCACUUUGAGAAUCAUCAAAGUGCAUAAACUAAGAUCACCUUUCUAAUUGAAGAACUUCAUGGAGAUUAGCAGCACAAACAGUAAGAAACAAGACUUUGACCAUCAUCUCAUAAUUUGUGCUCAUGUUGGAACUCGAGUCCUAUCCUGCUAUAAAAUAGCACACCAAAGCCCUCAGUUUUGACUGGUUGGCAACCCCUGCAACCACAAUUUAAUUGCCCACCUCGUUGCAUGCAUGGCGGAAGACAGACUCAAACUCCCAUAUCUUCUAUCAUACUCAAUACAAAGGAUUCCAACACUUUCUUCUUUACUUUUCUUAUUUUUCUAUCACAAGGACAAGGUUUGAGUCCUUCCAAGUACACCAGUCUAGAGAAGGCCAAUCAGAAGAAGUUAUGAGGCCAAUUUAAAAUAGAUUGCAAGGAGCAAUUAAUAUAGGAAGAGAGGAGAUGUUGGAAUCCCAGCUAUGCGCCAUCAGCUUAUAGAGCCUGACCUUUGAAUUCUUGCUCCUCCUUCCUUUCUGCUGCAUGACAAACAUUCUGAAGGUCAGAGGAAAGUCAUGGAGUGCUCAAUGUCCACAACAACUGUCAUAGUGUUCUUGCUCUCUUUGAUUGCUCUGGAGGACUUCACUGUCAUUGCCAAAAGCGACAUGGCAGUCUACGGGUGCAAUUAUGCGCAAGAACACAAGAGGAACGAGGAACUUGGUGCCACCAGCCAGAAAUGGCUCAGAGGAAGGAAGAUGGUGGAGGAAGUCAGAAGCACAGUGAACACAGGUGCCAAACACUGGAUCAAAGAACAUGAGCAUGGACAAGAUGGGCGUUCGAGUGUAGGGAGUGAGGUGAGACAUCAGAUUCGCCAUUCCAGGGUUCAUUUUGCUGGCUUUGUAUCUUUCAGUUCCGAUUACCGGGCGCCGAAAAACCACCCCCCAAAGCACAACUAAAGCAGAGCGUUUUGAGUCUAUUUUAUCUCUGUUAUCUAUACUUGUUUAGGAUAUAACAAGAGAGGAACAGUUUGUAUUCUGCAUAUCUGAUGUCUAAUGCAUCUAUAUAGUUAACAUGGGAUUUCUAGAUUGAUGUUCUAUAUACCAUCUUCAGCAAAAACAUUGUAUU